UAAUGAUGUAGAAUCAGAUGGAGGCUGUGAAAUAGAAACACCUAGACCAGGUGGUGAGGCAUUUGAAACAGAAACAGCAACACCAGUAGAAUGUGAAGGAACAGCUGCUGCAAUGACAUUUCGCACUGGUAGAACCCGCACUAGGCCUGAACCCCCAGAACCAGUACCAUUACCUUGUUCUCCUUGCAUCCCCUCCCCAUUAUUUGCCCGGGUACCUAUGGCUGAUACAACUGGUGCCAGUGAGGUACCAGCAUGUAUAUGGAUAUUUACGUUCCUUGGGGCACUACCAAUACCAACAUGACUGAAAGUCAUUGGAUUUGGUUGUAGAGCAGAACCACCAAAGAGGGAAUUGGUUUGUAGAGGAAAAGGCUGGACCAUGAUAGGAUUAGGCCCUGAUGGAGAUAUAUAAACUGCAGGUCCAGGGUUUACAGAAGAAUCAGCAGGAGAUUGUCCCAUUCGCAGUGUCAAGAUUGUCCGACCAAGCUCCAAAAGAAGAG
rnacentral:misc_RNA from 1 species